rnacentral:rRNA from 1 species
UGCGGAGGGAUCAUUACUGAGUUUACGCUCUAUAACCCUUUGUGAACAUACCUAUAACUGUUGCUUCGGCGGGUAGGGUCUCCGCGACCCUCCCGGCCUCCCGCCUCCGGGCGGGUCGGCGCCCGCCGGAGGAUAACCAAACUCUGAUUUAACGACGUUUCUUCUGAGUGGUACAAGCAAAUAAUCAAAACUUUUAACAACGGAUCUCUUGGUUCUGGCAUCGAUGAAGAACGCAGCGAAAUGCGAUAAGUAAUGUGAAUUGCAGAAUUCAGUGAAUCAUCGAAUCUUUGAACGCACAUUGCGCCCGCCAGCAUUCUGGCGGGCAUGCCUGUUCGAGCGUCAUUUCAACCCUCAAGCUCUGCUUGGUGUUGGGGCCCUACAGCUGAUGUAGGCCCUCAAAGGUAGUGGCGGACCCUCCCGGAGCCUCCUUUGCGUAGUAACUUUACGUCUCGCACUGGGAUCCGGAGGGACUCUUGCCGUAAAACCCCCCAAUUUUCCAAAGGUUGACCUCGGAUCAGGUAGGAAUACCCGCUGAACUUAAGCAUAUCA